ACUCAGUCGGUGCGUUCAUUUACUCCUGAUUAAUAUACUGGAUAUGACCACAGUUUCAUUCACAUUAAGGCAAUAUUCAGGUACAGUUUUAUAAUAAAUCCAACUGUAUUAUAAACACAAACUACCUCUGGACUGCCAACAUGGAGAGACAUAUGCUGCUCAUGAUUCUCAUUGUAGUUACAGGUGGAUUUGCUGACAGAAUUGGACCAGGAGAAGGAAAUACUAAUAUAAUGAAGGGAGAAGGAGAGUCUGUGACACUGAGCUGCACAUAUGAAACUAACAGCAAUGAUAUUUGGCUUUACUGGUUCAGACAGUAUCCAAAAGGAGAACCUCAGUAUUUACUGCUCAAAGGUGCUCGAUCACAGACUUAUGAGAAUAUACCAGACCGUCGGUUUCGGUCAACAACAUCCAAAUCAUCCACUGAAUUCAUUAUUGAUAAAGCAGCUCUGUCAGAUUCAGCUCUCUAUUAUUGUGCUCUAAGAGUAGUUGCCCAGUGAUACAAAAUGCCUGAGAAGCUUUACAAAAACUCAAAUACACAAUGUGCUUUAAACAGUCUUUAAUCUAACAGCAUCAAACCACAAUUUAUUAUUUUUUUGUAAACCACAGCUCUGGAAAUACCACUGUGGCAACA